UCCCGUGUGGCUCAGUUGGUAGAGCAUGGUGUUUGCAACGCCAGGGUUGUGGUUUCGGUUUCCACGGGGG
rnacentral:tRNA from 1 species